rnacentral:sRNA from 1 species
GCUGGGCGCGGUGGCUCAUGCUUGUAAUCCUAGCAAUUUAGGAGGCCAAGGCAGUUGGAUCACCUGAGGUCAGGAGUUCAAAACCAGCCUGGUCAACAUGGGGAAACCCUGUUUCUACUGAAAAUACAAAAAUUAGCUGGGUGUGGUGGCAUACGCCUAUAGUCCCAGCUACUCGGGAGGCUGAGGCAGGAGAAUCGCUUAAACCUUUCAGGCAGAGAUUGCAGUGAGCUGAGCUGGCACCACUGUACUCCAGCCUGGGCGACAAGAGUGAGACUCUGCCUCA